GGUGAAGCUGGUGGAGGUGGCGAGGGAGAAUCCGAUGAUCAAUGAGAUCCAAAAUGAUGAAAAAGAGUUUAAACCUGAUGAAGGAAACUCCGUCCCGAUCACUCAGUGGAGUAACCACAUGGGGGCGCCACAGCACCAGGAUGGUCAGACCAAUGGCAGCACAGCAGUGAAGACAGGAAGUGAUCUGGAUGCUGUUAUCGAGUCAAAUUCUGAGGCAGAAGACUUGGUGACGU